UAAUGAUGGCGGCGCUGUCUCCAGCAGAGGCUCAGUGAAAUCGAAAUCGCUGUGAAGAUGCAGUGUACCCGCGGCUAGACGGAAAGACCCCGUGAACCUUUACUGCAGCUUGACACUGAACUUUGACCUUACUUGUGUAGGAUAGGUGGGAGGCUUUGAAGCUGGAACGCUAGUUCCAGUGGAGCCGUCCUUGAAAUACCACCCUGGUAAUGUUGAGGUUCUAACUCUGUCCCGUGAUCCG
rnacentral:rRNA from 1 species